rnacentral:pre_miRNA from 8 species
ACACAUAUACACAUGUAUGUGGAUAUGUGGAUAUGUGUAUAUAUACACAUAUACACAUGUAUGUGGAUAUGUGGA